UCUGGCUGGAUGCUGUUGUGCUGGCCCUUUGGUGCAAUGUGCACACACUUCUGGUUGUCUGUUUCUUCUGUUCCACCUGUGCACUGCCUGUAGACACUCUGUGUCUAUGAUAUUGGUUACACACACAUGAUGUUUUGCAUAUUGGUUACAUAUGUAUGAUAAUAUACAACUUUCAACAACGGAUCUCUUGGCUCUCGCAUCGAUGAAGAACACAGCGAAAUGUGAUAAGUAAUGUGAAUUGCAGAAUCCAGUGAAUCAUCGAAUCUUUGAACGCAUCUUGCGCUCCUUGGCAUUCCGAGGAGCAUGCCUGUUUGAGUGUCAUUAAACUAUCAAAGCACCUUUCCUGGGGUGUUUUGGACUUUGGGAGUAUUUUGCUGGCCUGUUUGAGCCAGCUCUCCUCAAAAGCAUUAGCUUUGGAGACCAUCAGUGUGAUAACUCUCUUUACACUGACUGAGUGUGUCUCUGCUUCUUAAAUAUGCUGGACACCCUUUGACCUCAAAUCAGGUAGGACUACCCGCUGAACUUAAGCAUAUCAAUA
rnacentral:rRNA from 1 species